AAACUUUAAAAAAACUGAUCUGAUAUUCUUUCGUUAUAAGAACUGUAAAUAGUACAUGAUGACAGAUCGUAAAUAGAAGGCCAUAGGCUAUUUAAUUUCACUAUUUAUAACGGGACGCUCCAAUCUCCAUUGAUUGGAAUGGAGUUGACAACAAUCAUAACAAAAAAAAUUCAACACGCCGAGUGUUUUUGUUUGAAAUAGCUUUACUGACAUGUAAAUAAAAUCUGCUCUACAAAUGCUAAAUUCAACAUUCGACUAUUUGUGGCCCUGACCUUUUCCAUCAAGACCUCUAAUAAAUGGUAGGCUUAAUUCUAUGAACCAAACAAACCUGUGUUUCUUACAAACAUAAGUGCAAGGAAUAACGUAGAAGAAAUCCGCAAUCUCAACCAUCUGCAUUUUUCAGCCUUUCUUCACAGGGAGCUAGCAGAAACAUGAAUAGGCGAAGUGGUUCUUCUUUGAGACAUAAUGGGAUAUGUAAUCAGUCGAAGCAGCAGAAGAGCCAGGAAUAUCAGCUGGAACAAGAAUCUGUGUCUUUCCGGAAGCAAUUCUCUUACCAGCCACAUUGGCAUAAAAGAGGCCUGAGAUUGCUGGUACAAAAACAUCACUCUCAGAACACAUGUAGAAGUCGAUUACUUUCUCCAGUUCAGAAGACUCUGAGUCGAGAAAUUUUGCCUUCUUGUCAAUGGGCAUUAUGCUUUCCUUUGUAUAUGUUUUAGGAAAGAGAUCCUUCAAUGCAUCAAGGCUGCUAUCCCACCUUGAUUGAGUCAGAUAUAGAGUUGUAUCCUUGUUAAAACCAAUUUUUCUCAAGAACAUACCAAUCUCCUCUGGACCAUAGCAGCUCUUUGAUUUAAGAGAACUGUCACCUUGGCAACUCUUCUUCUCCAAUAUAUCAACCCUCAGAUCCACUGCAACAAACUGUCCUUUUGACUUUGAGCUCAAAGUUCUUAAGCGCUCCACCAUGGACUCAACUACUUCAUUAACUUCUGGUUGAAGCUCUAGAGUUCCAAACAUCGACAUACAUGCAAUUGAGUCGGUAUUACUCUUCUCUUUCGUUUUUUUCAUGUUUACUGAAGGAAAGUAUGUUGCCAGCCUUAUGUUUCCCUUAGAUGUGAAAACUGGUUCAAUGUUUUCAGCAAUGUAGUCCUCAGAAACCCUAUUUGGAACCUUCACAACAGCAAGAUUUCUUGAUGAGACUUCAGCAGGCUGAGUUGUUUCUACUUUAACCACACCAUCUAGGCUUCUCACAAAGCGUUCAACAUUGUAGAUGUCUUCAAAUUUCCUCUUAUCCCCAGGUUUGCUCCCUCUGAUGUCUGGGAUCACAAGAGUUGCACGCAGAUACCUCGCCACUAUAACUGCAUCAGCAAUCUGAGAGACAUGAUAUUCAGGACCAUUAGUAAGUGAAAAUGUAACAAAUCCUUGUGAUUGGUCAGCUUCUUGGGGAACUGGUUUAGUCCAACAAGGCUUUACGGAUUCACCACCCUUCAUCCAAGGGCCAGUUACCAGGCUCUGCUUACUGGUACUAUGGAUAGAUAUAUCAGAAUCCACUGGAUAAAAGUGAUCCCUCGUGAUCAUGUUGCCGAGCAUAACAAACAUAGUAACAGUAAGAACACCAGCAACAAUUUGUCUCGGAUCCACUGCCAUUUCUCACGGAUCCACAACAGCUCUGUUCACAAGGAAUCAAAUAUGGAAGAAGUUGAAAGUACAGUGUAACAUGGAGCAGCA
rnacentral:misc_RNA from 1 species